rnacentral:lncRNA from 1 species
CCUGGUGUGAGGUUGCUGGCGACCCCUGGCUUUUCUUGGCACGUAGAAGUCUCACCUGGUAUCUGUUGUUGUGUCCUUUGUGUGUCCAGGAUACCUCAGCGGUAUCUGCCCUCCUGGACCCCAAGCCAGGCGUGGUGGUGUGCUUCCAUAAUCCCAGCCCUCAGGAAGCUGAGGCAGGAGGAUCUUGAGUUUGAGGCCAGCCUGGGCUACAUAGCAAGACUGCAGUGGGAGUGGGGUCAGACUGGAGCCGGGCUUCUCCUGACCUCAUCUCUGAUUGUAUCUGCCAGAGCCCAUGUCCACAGAGGUCACAUUCGAAGGCCCAGUGGUUGGGCUUCAGCACAUCCGCCUGCAGCAAGUGCAUACAAAUGGCCUAUGUCCUCCUCAGGGUGGCAGAGUAUGGUGGCUUUGCAUGGACUCCGUCUUUCAACUGAGCCUCAGGGGCUCCCGUGGUGACUUCGAGCUGCGUCUUAUCCCGAGCUUGCCCUGGCACCUCAGGAGGCGAGGAGCUGUGGUCAGCCAACAGUGGCCCCACCUUGCUUGCUCUGCUGCAUCUCACUUCCCAACCAGGGUUGUGCAGUCCCCAGCCAGCCCUGAAGGUGUCUGCAGCUGGCAUCUGGCAGCAAAUCCAGACCCUGUGGGUGGCAGGGAGGGGUUUCCAGCCUUCCUGCCACUGCCUGCUGGCUGGGGGUGCAGACAGAGCUGGGAGUUUUGCAUUUCACACACAAAAAUGUUGCAGUAAAAUUGUGAAUGUGGCCAAAGGUCACCUGAGGAGUCCCCCCAGCCCCUGCACCUGGUUCCCAUGCUUCUCCUUCCAGGUAGAUUUUGGAUGGAUGAGAACAGACAGGGACAGCCAUCCCUGGUACCCCGGAGAUCAGCUCAAGGGCCCGCUAGAAUACCAGGCGCUAUGGGUGCCCAGGUCCCUUCAAUAAAACAGCACGGUGUUUGCACGUACCUUGCGCAGUCCUCCCAGGUCAGGAGCGAAGUCAGGAGCCAGCGUUUUGCAGACCCUGCCUGCCUCAGCGCCCCCACCGUCGCCGUCCACGAGGUGGCGCUAGAGCCCAGUGCCUCCAGCUUCACACCUGGCGCACCUUGUCCGCCCCUGUGUCCCCACCCGCGCCAGC